UUUUAUCAAAAGUUAAAUAAUGCAAAAUUAAAAGGUCAAAGUAAACUUGAAUAAAUCAAACUAAAAACAAUUACAUUAUGGUUUUAUUUUUUAAACUAAUAAAAGUAAAAUAUAAAAAUAGAAAAUUUUAUUUAUACAUAAAUUUUUUAAAUAUUUUAUAUAUGUGUAUGGCGCAGUUGAACUCCUAGUACAAUACAAAAAGGAUAUACGAGGAGUAGGGAGGAUGUCCACCUCGACAAUAAAAAUCAACCAAUAGGGAUGUUGUUUUCCUCCACGUCACAUCUAUUGGGUUUUUGUUUCACACUUGCGUAUGAGCUUCAGAAAAUAACUUGAGCCCAUUGUUAAAUUAGAUUUCUUUGUUCUUGCCUAAGACCUUCAUAUUUUUCAGACAAAAAAUUACAGAGAACUUAAGCGUCGAUUGGCUCUCUCUAACGUCUCCUUCUUCCAUUGAUACGUUCUUUACUCCCAGCUUCUGUGUGACUAACCCACUCUGCCUCAUUCAAUCGACCUCAUCGCAUCCUCAAAGUAACCAUCUAAAGCUCGAGUAUAAAUAUCUCCUUCUUCCGGCACGAACAGCACAACUUCAACGAGAUCUAAAAACUUAGUCUAUUCAACUUAUCGAUUAUUACUAUGGCGAAUUCCUUCAUCAUUCUUGCCGAUCUGAAAGCUGGGCGCUGCUCUAACACUGUGAAGGUAGGUCGGUGAAGGAGAUUGUUGAAGUCGUCUUGCAAGAACCAUGAGGAGGAGCUUAACUGGAGCAAGAGUUCCUUAUGCCUCGAUGUUGACAGUAAAUCAUCAUUACAUGCAGCGUCCCACUUCAAGAUUCACUUAUCUGAAGGCUUUAGCUUCAAAAACAUACGUGGUAUGGUCCACCAAAGUGUACCUCCUUUGCAGGGCCUUGGAAGACAAGCGUAUAUCUUCUUGGUGGAUGGUGGACUUAGGCGAAGAUGACCAGGUCUCCUCCAUUACUUCUCUUUCUAUCACAUCAUUUGUUUUAGUAAAGACACAUGCAGUCCAAGAACUUCAUAACCUGAGUAACAGAAAAUUUAGUUCGUUUUUAGUUUGAUAUCUCAGAACCUAACCAGCUGACUAUAGUGGGAUGCAUCUUAUGUGCAACUAUUACACUUUCAGAUGAUGGGUCAAGCACAUACGCAAGGUCCUGGAAGUUUCAGGGAUCAGUGGAUAGGAAAACAUGGACGGACUUGAGAACUCUAUGGUUACUUCCAUUGGAAACUACACUUCAAUGAAAUAGCCUCUUGACUGUCUCCACCACACAUGUGUGCCUUUCCAUUACAAUAUCUAGACACAGUGAAGGAAGGUAUUCAAACAACAUUUAUAGAGCAGGUGGUAGCAGAUGAAAGCAAUAUGGAAGGUGUUCCACCAGCUUGCUCGAGGAUAUUGAACUGGCAUCUUCACUUGAAUGCCCUAGAUGUCCCUUAUCCACAAGGGUGGGUGAUCCAAAAGAAUUUUGAAUCUGUCAUAACUGUGAGAUAGUUCCAAGAUACAACUUUUGACUGGUAAAGAUUUAUAUGGUUGAUGAACUUUUGAAGUCUCAGGUGUUCAGGAACUUAUAAGCAAAAGGUGAAGUUCAAGACCAUGAAAAUUUGGUGUAUUUAGUAUGAUAUGGAAUUAUUAUGUGUUAUAUUUUAUAUUGACCCAAUUCAUAAUUGGUGGAGUUUAUUAAUUUGUUUGCGUUUAUUAAUUUAUCGAAUACUAACUCAUAGAGUUUCUACUUUAAUGGGUUCAGAAAACUUCAUAGAUAAAGCUUUUUUAUUUUUUUUAUUAA